ensembl:misc_RNA 7SK 7SK RNA
GGAUGGGAGGGAGAUCCAGCUGCGACAUCUGUCCCCCCAUUGAUUGCCAGGGUUGGUUCGGCUGAUCUGGUUGACUAGGCAGGUGUCCCCUUCCUCACCGCUCCAUGUGCGUCCCUCCCGAAGCUUUGUGUUGGUCAAGGGUAUAUGAGUAGCUGUGCUCUCCUGCUAGAACCUCCAAACAAGCUCUCAAGAUACCACAAUCGAAGUGGGGCAAACGGACAGGCCCCAAACCAAAGCAACAACUAAAACCAU